AGGGGCAUAGUUCAACGGUAGAAUAGAGCUCUCCAAAAGCUUUGAUGGGGGUUCGAUUCCCUCUGCCCCUGCCA
rnacentral:tRNA from 7 species